rnacentral:pre_miRNA from 1 species
AAAAAUAUCGGAGCGUCGGUCUACCCAGCAAUAUCAGCCGCUCGGUUGAAGAUCUUCCCUUUCCCUU